AUUGAAAGUGUUGAUUAUAAGGUUGAUUAAUGUUUGUUUUGUGUUUUAUUUUAAGUGUUAAUGUAAAAUUGAAUCUGGUUAACAACAAAAAUUGACCCAAAUUAUUGGUGAAAGAUUUGUAUUAACAUUAAUAAUAAUGAUAAUAAUAAUCAUCAUGAUAAUGGAAGAAGAAGAAGAAGAAGAAUAAUAAAAGAGGUUACUUGUUGUUCUUUGAAGAAAAGCCAAACAAAAUAUUAUCGUUAGAAUGGAUUAUAUUAUAUUAUUACUUAGGUAUUCAAAAUAAUACACACAAAAAACAUCCUCGGAAACAUUUGUCAUUCAUUUCUUCAUCGUCAUCAUUCUCAUCUUCGUCAUCUUUUCAACUGUUGGAGGAAAUAACAACAAACCUAGACCCAAAGAAGACGACCUUUUCAAUGGAGACCUGAGGCCAUUUUUUUUGACAUUGUGUUAUUUGACAAUGAAAACUCCCAAGACUCGAGAUAUUAUUAUAAGUACAAAUAUUCUUGUGUGUUUGUGUAUUAUGUGUGUAUGAAUUGCUUCUUCACCUUAAUAAAACUUGCCCACAAAAAGGUUGAA